CCCACAAGCACUCCUUCCCAAUUUAUCAGAUCAACACACCGUUUUUUUUCAUUUUCCAAUUUCCUUCUCUCACUGCUACACAUAUUUCUAUAUAUUCUUCUUCACAAAAAAAAAAAAAAUUUAACCCAAAAAAAAAAAAAAAAAAAUCCAUACCUGCACAUACAUCUUCUGAUUCUCCAUCUGGGUAUCUAAAUUUGCAAUUUUGUGAUUAUAAAAUUGAAAGAAUUGAAAGACAAAGAGAGAGAUAAACAGGGGUAAUAUAGAGGAGGAUGAACAUACCCUCGGUUUUUACUUCGCUUCCUCUUAGAUCUUAGCUCAUUUUGUUUGAGAUUUCCCAUCUGGGUGUUCUUUAAUCGGGGAUCCUCAAUUCUCUGUGGAUUGAUCUUCGAAGGAUCCAAUGGUUUUGGUUUGAAUCCGGGAGAAUCUAAUCGGCAUCAGAGAUACUAUUUUUGGGUGUUUCUUGCAAUUUCCCAAAACAGGUAGAAAAAUGCAAUCUGACCAUGGCAAGCUAUUCAUUGGUGGAAUCUCUUGGGAUACAAACGAAGAGCGUCUUAAGGAGUAUUUUAGUACAUAUGGGGAAGUGUUGGAAGCAGUAAUUAUGAAGGAUCGAACCACGGGCCGAGCUCGUGGUUUUGGUUUUGUUGUCUUUUCGGACCCUGGUGUUGCUGAGAGAGUCAUUAAGGAGAAGCACAACAUUGAUGGUAGAAUGGUUGAGGCAAAAAAGGCUGUGCCAAGGGAUGACCAGAACACAAUGAGUAGAAGCAGUAGUAGCGUUCAGAUUUCUCCUAGUCCAGGACGCACAAAGAAGAUAUUUGUUGGAGGUUUAGCAUCAACGAUUACAGAGAGUGAGUUCAAGAAGUACUUUGAGCAAUUUGGGACAAUCACAGAUGUUGUGGUGAUGUAUGAUCAUGCCACACAGCGGCCAAGAGGGUUUGGAUUCAUCACUUAUGAUUCGGAGGAUGCAGUUGACCAAGUGUUGCUCAAAACUUUUCAUGAGCUGAAUGGUAAAAUGGUUGAAGUCAAGCGUGCGGUCCCUAAGGAACUAUCUCCGGGUCCUAGUCGGAGCCCUCUUGGUGGAUAUAAUUAUGGAUUAAAUAGGAUCAAUAACUUUCUCAAUGUCUACUCCCAAGAAUACUCUCCAAGUGCUGUUGGAGGUUAUGGAGUUAGGAUGGAUGGUAGAUUCAGUCCAAUCACUGGUGGUCGAAGUGGGUUUGCUUCGUUUGGUUCUGGCUAUGGAAUGGGUUUGAACUUUGAACCAGGGUUAAACCAAAGUUACGGGGGAAAUGCAAACUUUAAUAAUACUCUCAGCUAUGGACGGGGACUGAAUCCUUACUACAUUGGUAAUUCAAAUAGGUUUACUAGUCCUAUGGGGUACGAGGGAGGCAAUGGAGGAAACACUUCUUUUUUCAGCUCAACAACUCGGAAUUUGUGGGGAAGUGGGGGGCUUAAUUAUGGAACAAACUCCUCAAGUUCGAACGCUUAUAUUGGAGCAGGAAGUGGGAACAUUGGAGGAGGCACCUUUAGAAACAGUGGUGUUAAUUGGGGUUCUUCUCCCAUUUCGCCCCAAGGUGAAGGCAAUGUUUCAGGCAAUAGUGGGAAUCUUGGUUAUGGAAGUGGUGAUAACUUUUAUGGUUUGGGAGCAGGAGGGUUUGAAAGAAAGACUGCUACAAGUGGGGUCCCCACAUCGUCAUAUGCUGCAUCAAAUGGUGGUUAUGAUGGGGCUUUUGCUGACUUUUAUGGUGGUGGCUCAGUUUAUGGGGAGUCCACCUGGCGUUCAGCAAAUCCAGAGCAAGAAAUAUCUGGUUCAUUUGGUUAUGGGCUUGGCAAUGUAGCCUCUGAUGUUCCACGUAAAAGUUCGCCCGGUUUCAUUGGUGGUUAUAGUGUUACUAAGAGAUAGGCGAAUAGAGAUUAUGUGUGCAUUUGUAGUUGGAUUACAUCAGCGGUGAGUAGUAAUGACCUUCUCACCGGUAUUGCUGGCUAGUAGAAAAUUGGAUAGCGGAUGUUAUAGUAGGUGAACAAAUCUGGGAUAGCAGUUGAACUGUGAAAAUUUCACACUCCCAUCUCGUUAAUAUCUUUCAGUUCAAAAAGUUGAAAAGAAAAUUGGUAUCUAGAGCUAACUGGAGUGCCUAUUUUGAAGAAGUAAGUUUAGGGACAGAAGUUACAAUGGAUUUUAAGGAUUUGAGUUUUGAGUUACCAUUUAGGUCUUCCUUUUUGGUUUUUGUGGUGAGAUGUAAAAUAAUAUUGCGGCAUAUAGUCAGAAAUGUAUCAUGCAUCUCUGGUGAGGCGGCUAUACAUGAAAAAGAUAAGACUGAUUCUUUUGGUGGUUUUAUUUCUAGGUUUCCAUCUUCUACUGUAAUGUCACUGCAAAGUUGCAGUUUCUUGUGAGGUAUGCUUUGUUUUUGUUGUCAUAUUUGUUCGGUUUUGUUUCUCCUCAGGUUGUACCAGAGUUUUUUUUUUCUAAAUUUACUAGUGUGAAACAUUUGAGGGAUAUCCAUUUAGGGGUCCUCAUGAAUAAGUUAUUACAUGUUAGGAUUCUUUUUUUCCUUGGCAACCUUCUUUGCUACAAAUUAAAGCUUUACACGUGUGAAAUGGACUUGUAAAUUGAACA